CAGGGGAAGAGGAAUCACUUGAGCCCCUCGCCUCAGCGCGCCUCAUAGCACAGCGCGUCCACAAGAGAGUGGGACGAGGAAAGGAAAGGUUCACUGGCAGAUAAUUCAUUUUACGAGCUAGCGAGAAGUCAAAGGCGGACGAACUCAAACCUAACCCGCCAAUGAUCGCGUCGGCGAAUAUUAAGCCGGGACGGGGUUAAACGGCUUCCAAAAAGUUGCGCUGCGCCUCCAUCAUGAUGCUCCUCGGGGGCUCCUCGUCCGUCGGCCAAGCCAGGCCGAGCCGGCGGGCCGAGCCGUAAGUCGCGAAGAGUUGGGCCGGGCCGAGGCCGAGGCCCAGGCCGAGGCCCAGGCCGAGGCCCCGUCACGCCGCUGUAAAGCUUCAUUACUGGCACUUAGGCCCUUUGAAGGGCUUGAAUAAAGUGGCUCCGUUACGUUAUCCGCUCGCCCCAUUUGCCCCUCCGCCGCCGUGGCGCGCCGCUCGUGCGGAGGCACCGGGGGAAGCGGCCGUGCGAAAACGAAUUUAAGCAUCGGAGCAGUGGCGGCAUGAAAACAUCUUCAAGUAUUCCGUUUGCGAAUAUCACGUCACUCUCCGUUCCGAAAUCUUAUCAGGGCACGGCAAAGCAACGGCAACGGCUGGGACCUGCACGGGGUUGUUAGACGCAGCCCGACGGGUGCGAUAUUGCAAAAUGCAUCGUUGACGUGAGCGCAGGACGCGGCGUGUGCGCUGACGUCCCCCCACAGACUGACUGACGCCUCUGUCAUCACCGCCACUGUCUGCCCUCCACGGCGCCCUGCUGCUGCCGCUGCUACUGUGGGUCCCUGCAUUGUCGAUCCGCCCACCGUUAUGCCACCGGUGCUCCUCCUUCUGACAAUCCCUCGCAUAAUACGAAUGGGGGAGGGGGCGGGGAAUCCCCCAAAUAGUGGGAAAGUGCUUCGGGUGGAAAUAGAGUCUAUUUUGUUUUCAAAGUUACCACUAUAUUGCAGAUCCCGAGUGUGAGUUUUGCUAGUUUUUCUUAGUUUUCCUAGUACCGUAAUAAUUAUACUUCAAAAACGCGGGCAGCCGCUCAGGAGCAAGUGUGGAGGUGUAGCUUGUACUUAAU